GAAUUUUGGACAAUGGGCGAUAGCCUGAUCCAGCAAUGACGCGUGCAGGAUGAAGGCCUUCGGGUUGUAAACUGCUUUUGUACGGAAAGAAAAGCUUUGGGUUAAUCCCAUGGAGUCAUGACGGUACCGGAAGAAUAAGCCCCGGCUAAAUACGUGCCAGCAGCCGCGGUAAUACGUAAGGUGGAAGCGUUAAUCGGAAUUACUGGGCGGAAAGCGUGCGCAGUCGGUUUUGUAAGACAGAGGUGAAAGCCCCGGGCUCAACCUGGGAACUGCCUUUGUGACUGCAAGGCUAGAGGACGGCAGAGGGGGGUGGAAGUCCGCGUGUAGCAGUGAAAUGCGUAGAUAUGCGGAGGAACACCGAUGGCGAAGGCAACCCCCUGGGCCUGUACUGACGCUCAUGCACGAAAGCGUGGGGAGCAAACA
rnacentral:rRNA from 1 species